rnacentral:sRNA from 1 species
ACGAGCCGAAGCGCUGCCCUCCUAGCUGCUUUGGCCCGAUAGACAGCACUCCUCCUCCCAUGCUGUCGGUCACUAUCGAAGCCCGGCGCACUCUCCCGCGCCGGGCUUCUGUC